rnacentral:piRNA from 1 species
UCCUUCUCUAAAGAGGCCUCCUGUCCCUCC